rnacentral:misc_RNA from 1 species
AGGGAUUCUUGUUGGGAAUCAGUGUAACCAUUUACUGGGUUCAAGCCAUUUGCUUUUCUUUUCUGCUCAAUUCCCAAAGUUGCUCCUGCCCGCUUUUGACCUUGCAACUCACUUAGAUUCACACAAUUCAUAGAAUCCUCACCAUCUGGCAUUAGUAUAAUCCGUACCUCUACAUUGCAUCUCAGGACCAUUUCAAUUGAAUUUGUGAUACUGCUCAUAAACCUUUCAGCUCUUGCUUUAACAUCUUCAUCCCCAAAUGCAACAUAAACAACCAAAGCACCUUCAAC